rnacentral:rRNA from 1 species
UAGGGAAUCUUCGGCAAUGGACGAAAGUCUGACCGAGCAACGCCGCGUGAGUGAUGAAGGUUUUCGGAUCGUAAAACUCUGUUGCCAGGGAAGAAUGGCCAGGUGAGUAACUGCACUUGGUUUGACGGUACCUGAGAAGAAAGCCCCGGCUAACUACGUGCCAGCAGCCGCGGUAAUACGUAGGGGGCAAGCGUUGUCCGGAAUUAUUGGGCGUAAAGCGCGCGCAGGCGGUCAUUUAAGUCUGGUGUAUAAACCAAGGGCUCAACCUUUGGACGCAUUGGAAACUGGGUGACUGGAGUGUAGGAGAGGAAAGUGGAAUUCCACGUGUAGCGGUGAAAUGCGUAGAGAUGUGGAGGAACACCAGUGGCGAAGGCGACUUUCUGGCCUAUAACUGACGCUGAGGCGCGAAAGCGUGGGGAGCAAACA